UCAUACUGGGAUAAUUGGUAUCGAGGUUGCCGAGAACCUAGCUAAAUCUACAUCUAAUCUAAUCUGUCUUUCCCUCGAUCACCUACCUUAGUCCAAUGUUAUCUCUUUUAUUAAACGUCUUAUCUCUGAUCUUUGGUCCUUCCAUUGGAAGAACAUUCCCGCGGAUUUCACUUCAAGAUAUAGACAUAUUACACCCAAUAUCCUCAAUAAAACUUGAUUUAACAACUUGUACUU